rnacentral:lncRNA from 1 species
AGAUUAUCACCCACUCUGGGAGUUGCACAGAGGUGGAAUCUGAGGAGCCAGGGCGUCCCCCACCAACAGGUGGAUGCCAGCUGCCGUCCAGCUUACCCUCGGACACUUGCUUUCCCAGGACACCAGCAAUCGUGGGCAGAAACUCCUCAAGGCGCUCCAAGGAAUCCCAGAGGCCCUCAAGACCCACGACCAGGCUGCAGGUGGCCUGGGACUGCACAGGCAGCAGGCUAGACAAUCCCUCCAGGCUGUGGCCCUCUUUGGACUUUAG